rnacentral:lncRNA from 1 species
UUUUUGGAGUAUUAAUUUCUGCAUUCUGCUUAGGUGACUCCGAACUUGUAUCAAGUUCAGUUGCUUCACUACCAGACUUGGCCUUUCUUUUGCUAGUAUUUGGAGGAUUAGCUUCUUCAUUCUGCUUAGGUAUGUCCGAACUUGUAUUAGGUUCAGUUGCGUCACUACCGAACUUGGCCUUUCUUUUGCUAGUUUUUUGAGGAUCAACUUCUGCAUUCUGCUCAGGUGUCUCCGAACUUGUAUCGAGUUCAGUUGCUUCACUACCAAACUUUGUCUUUCUUUUGCUAGUUUUUUGAGGAUUAACUUCUGCAUUCUGCUCAAGUGUCUCCGAACUUGUAUUAGGUUCAGUUGCUUCACUACCAAACUUGGCCUUUCUUUUUCUAGGAUUUGUACUACUAGAAUUGCACCCAUUGCCUUCCUCUGCAACCAUGUUUGACGUCGUGUCUUUGUCACAGCAUUCUGC